rnacentral:rRNA from 1 species
UACGGAGGGGGUUAGCGUUGUUCGGAAUGACUGGGCGUAAAGCGCGCGUAGGCGGGCUGGAAAGUCAGGGGGUGAAAUCCCGGGGCUCAACCCUGGAAUGGCCUUUGAAACUCCCAGCCUUGAGUUCGAGAGAGGUGAGUGGAAUUCCGAGUGUAGAGGUGAAAUUCGUAGAUAUUCGGAAGAACACCAGUGGCGAAGGCGGCUCACUGGUCCGGUACUGACGCUGAGGUGCGAAAGCGUGGGAGCAAACAG